ACGUUGGAGUUACUCUUGAUAUUCGUAUCGACGUUACGUCACUGCACUUGUCGACGCUCACGUCUUUAUUACGGUUAUUGCUGCGAUUAGACGCGCCGGUUUAUUGUCAUUUUAUUACUUACGUCGUGUAGUAGUGUCGCACUCACUUACAUAAUACGACACAUUAAUUAGAGCUCGGCUGUGCGUCACUGACAGAGGUUGCGUGUUGCAGACCACCGCCACUUGUACAAGAGUAAGAGCAAGAAGCCGCGGGAGCCGGCCAAGUCCAAGCAGCAGCUGUCCGCGGAGAACAUCGACAAGCUGCUGAAGCUGUCGACGCGCGCCGCCGACCCGAGCCUGGCCGACAAGAUCGUGGAGCGCGCCGUCCGCCGCAAGCCGCUCGCAGACAAAGAAGAAGUGAAACCAGACGAACACAAGUCCAUACUGUUCCC